rnacentral:rRNA from 1 species
AGAGUUUGAUCCUGGCUCAGAUUGAACGCUGGCGGCAGGCCUAACACAUGCAAGUCGAGCGGUAGCACAGAGAGCUUGCUCUCGGGUGACGAGCGGCGGACGGGUGAGUAAUGUCUGGGAAACUGCCUGAUGGAGGGGGAUAACUACUGGAAACGGUAGCUAAUACCGCAUAAUGUCGCAAGACCAAAGUGGGGGACCUUCGGGCCUCAUGCCAUCAGAUGUGCCCAGAUGGGAUUAGCUAGUAGGUGGGGUAACGGCUCACCUAGGCGACGAUCCCUAGCUGGUCUGAGAGGAUGACCAGCCACACUGGAACUGAGACACGGUCCAGACUCCUACGGGAGGCAGCAGUGGGGAAUAUUGCACAAUGGGCGCAAGCCUGAUGCAGCCAUGCCGCGUGUGUGAAGAAGGCCUUCGGGUUGUAAAGCACUUUCAGCGGGGAGGAAGGCGAUAAGGUUAAUAACCUUGUCGAUUGACGUUACCCGCAGAAGAAGCACCGGCUAACUCCGUGCCAGCAGCCGCGGUAAUACGGAGGGUGCAAGCGUUAAUCGGAAUUACUGGGCGUAAAGCGCACGCAGGCGGUCUGUCAAGUCGGAUGUGAAAUCCCCGGGCUCAACCUGGGAACUGCAUUCGAAACUGGCAGGCUAGAGUCUUGUAGAGGGGGGGUAGAAUUCGUGUAGCGGAAAUGCGUAGAAUCGGAGGAAAUACCGGUGGCGAAGCCCCUGACAAAGACUGACGCUCAGGUGCGAAAGCGUGGAGCAAAGGAUUAGAAUCCUGUAGCCCGCCGUAAACGAUGUCGACUUGGGGUGUGCCCUUGAGGCGUGGCUUUCGGAGCUAAACGCGUUAAGUCGACCGCCUGGGAGUACGGCCCAAGGGUUAAAACUUCAAAUGAAUUGACGGGGGCCCGCCCAAGGUGGAGCAUGUGGUUUAAUUCGAUGCAACGCGAAGAACCUUACCUAUUCUUGACAUCCAGAGAACUUUCCAGAGAUGGAUUGGUGCCUUCGGGAAUCUGAGACAGGUGCUGCAUGGCUGUCGUCAGCUCGUGUUGUGAAAUGUUGGGUUAAGUCCCGCAACGAGCGCAACCCUUAUCCUUUGUUGCCAGCGGUUAGGCCGGGAACUCAAAGGAGACUGCCAGUGAUAAACUGGAGGAAGGUGGGGAUGACGUCAAGUCAUCAUGGCCCUUACGAGUAGGGCUACACACGUGCUACAAUGGCGCAUACAAAGAGAAGCGACCUCGCGAGAGCAAGCGGACCUCAUAAAGUGCGUCGUAGUCCGGAUUGGAGUCUGCAACUCGGCUCCAUGAAGUCGGAAUCGCUAGUAAUCGUGGAUCAGAAUGCCACGGUGAAUACGUUCCCGGGCCUUGCACACACCGCCC